rnacentral:sRNA from 1 species
AAUGAAAUAAAUGUCGAAAAGGGUUGUAGCUGGCCUCUUGAGGCAUGUGCACACCUUUAUCGCGCAUCUACAUCUCACACCUGUGCACAACCUGUAGCUUGGGAUGAUUACAAUACUGGAAACGGUAUUGAAAGCCCUCGCUAUGAAUUUUUAUACAACCCUAUUAAAAGUUAAAGAAUGUUUAAUGUUAUAGCGUGUAACAGCGCGAAUAAAUAUACAACUUUCAGCAACGGAUCUCUUGGCUCUCGCAUCGAUGAAGAACGCAGCGAAAUGCGAUAAGUAAUGUGAAUUGCAGAAUUCAGUGAAUCAUCGAAUCUUUGAACGCACCUUGCGCUCCUUGGUAUUCUGAGGAGCAUGCCUGUUUGAGUGUCAUGAAAUUCUCAACUGCUUUAGCUUUUGUGGUUGAAGUAAAGUUGGAUUUGGAGGAAUAAUUGCUGGCGUAACCUUUUAAGGUUGCUUGUUAGCUCCUCUUAAAUGGAUGAACUUUCCAGUAGUGUAAAAGUAACACCAAUGUGAUAAUUAUCUACGUUGGAUGAACUUGUACAAGGAAAGAUGAAUCUGUCUUGGACCCCCUUGACGAAACAAAUGACAAAUUUGACCUCAAAUCAGGU